UUAUGACCAUACCGUGUUGAAACACCGGUUUCCAUACAAUCACUGAAGUUAAGCAACGUCGAGCCUGGUCAGUAUCUAGAUAAGAGACCGCUUGGGAAUACCAGGUGUUGUAAG